UACGAAGGGGGCUAGCGUUGUUCGGAAUUACUGGGCGUAAAGCGCACGUAGGCGGACUAUUAAGUCAGGGGUGAAAUCCCGGAGCUCAACUCCGGAACUGCCUUUUGAUACUGGUAGCCUAGAGAUCGGAAGAGGUGAGUGGAAUUCCCAGUGUAGAGGUGAAAUUCGUAGAUAUUGGGAAGAACACCGGUGGCGAAGGCGGCGACCUGGUUCAUUACUGACGCUGAGGCGCGAAAGCGUGGGGAGCAAACAGG
rnacentral:rRNA from 1 species